CUUUUUCCUGUGCUGUGUCUGGCUAUAUUUGAGUAUUGUCACUUUCCACCCUCCACUGACUCUACUAGGGGUGUCCCUAGUACCCUCAUUAUUGCUGUCUCCACCUCUGGGGGUCACUGAUGCCUUGCUCUUGCCAGUGUCACUGCAGUCACUGGCCUCGCCACCAGGGGCACAGUAAAGGGAGGAUGCCUCUGUCACGUCCAGGAUCACCUGAGUCAUAAGAACUGCCUCCAUGACUAGUCCAAGAACCUAGAAGAGAAGGAGAAAAAAAUUUCCUCCCCGACAAUUUUGGCACCCAAUGUAGAGCUCUUCACUAGCUAACACGGCUUGCUCUGUGGCUGCUGCAGCUGAGAGAUCCCGGGACCUCUGAAAAAAGCCAGCAGAAGUUAAAGUUUAUUACCAUGUCAGUCUACCAGAUCUCUGCCUGCGGGAUCUGAUGGAAGUGAGUGUGGCGAGGGUCCUUUUCUUUUUCUAAACAUCAAUUAAUGGUAGAAAACAUUCGUGUGAACAAGUGUCUUGGGUAUAGCGACUUUGGUAAAAGAUUUGUUAUGACUCUUCUUGUUUUCUAUUGAUCCUCUUCCUCCCAGGGAUGGUCAUUGUUUUCUUUU
rnacentral:lncRNA from 1 species